UGUUCCUUCAUUUUCUUUAAGAGCUACCAGAAAGCAGCCCACCCCCACUCUCAUAAAAAAAAAAAAAAGCGAGUGGGGAAGAGCCAGCCCCACGCCGGUCCGCCUCCCGCUCGCUGCCGGGCCUCCCUCCCGCCUGCCCGCCGCCUGGCUCGGAGAUCCUUCGCCCAGAGUUCUCCAUUCUCAGGAUCCCGGGCUCGCGGGGGUGCGGAGAAGAGGACCCAGGAAAGGGUAGUAAAAAGGCAGAGACCGCUGGCUGGAGCUGCUAUGGCACCGUGAGCUGCAGCUGAUCUCUGGGAUCUAGCUCCCCGGAGUGCGGAGUGCAAAUGGAAAUGGUGUCCUCAUCCACAUCAACCGUGAAGGACAGACAGUCCCCGGGAUCUAGUAAACCCUCAGAAAACACUAGUGGAGAAGACAGAAGCGGAGUGAUCCAGCGUCAGAGGGGCCGGCGUGAACUGGAAUGUGAAAUGCACUUUCAGGCCACAAGACUUUGCCCCACCCUGCACCUCGGCCAAAGUCUUUCCUUCAUCCAGGAAUGCUUUCCUUAGCAAUGAAAGAACAAGACCUUCCUGCAGGUGUUGGCCCUACUACUUUCCAUUGGUAAUACACUACAUGGUUGGGUACCUGAUUUGAGUGUCGCCUAGGAAGGGACUUCAGAGAAGGCCAAGAAUGCUUUUUCUUUACAAAGGAUCCUCUUUCCGCCCCUCUCAUGUGUGAGCCACAUCUUUAGAUUCAGCCUUCUGGCGAGUAGAAAGAGCAGUGGCCUGGAAGUCUACUGUAGAGCUUAGAAAUCUAUCUAAAAGGAGCCGGGGUACAAAGAGGGCAUGGAGUGAUUUGUGUAAUGAUUUCAAUAGAGCGUGCGAGCCUUCGGAGCUUGUGGGAGUUGAAUGUAUGGCUUGGUUUCCAGCCUGCGAGCAUCCUUGGCUUUCUGCAUUUUCAUUGCUGAAGUCCUUCCUGGGCAGGUGGUGGCUUUGGGUGGUCCCCCGAGGCCCUCCUUGCCAUUCUUCUAGAAGCAUUCCAGGGCCCCCCCCCCCCUGGAAGAGCGCCCUGCUGCGCCAUUUGCUUGCUGGAUAUCGUUAUGACUGAGCUCUUGCAGCUGAAGCCAUUAAAGGCUGUUCUCCUUUUCAUUCCUCCUGGUUCCCUCUCAGCCCUGCCUCGGAGAAACCUCUGAUUUUCACUUGUGAGAUGCUCGGCUGAGCUUGUCAUACCCUAAAAGGUGAUUUCAGUUCUCUGAUGCCAAAGAGCCCUUUUCUGCUAAUCAAAACACAGCUGCAGAGGCCCGUGUGAUUUGCUAAUGGGCACCCCAACUCGGGGGGGUGUAUGUCUGUCUAUACCUGGAAAAUAGAUGUAAUUAGGAUAACAGAUAUCAUAAGGAUAUGCUAAUGCAUCAGGUAAAAAAAAAAAAUGGGCUGGGACGUCGACAAGCUCUUGAUGUUGAACCCCACCAGGCCAGCUGUGCGACUUAAGGAAAGGCCAAUGCCAGCACCCACAAGCCUUCUCCAGUACCAGUCCUGGAGUCCCCUCUGCAUCUGUUUCACCCCCUCU